CAGCAGCCGCGGGAAUACGUAGGGUGCAAGCGUUAAUCGGAAUUACUGGGCGUAAAGCGUGCGCAGGCGGUUAUAUAAGACAGAUGUGAAAUCCCCGGGCUCAACCUGGGAACUGCAUUUGUGACUGUAUAGCUAGAGUACGGCAGAGGGGGAUGGAAUUCCGCGUGUAGCAGUGAAAUGCGUAGAUAUGCGGAGGAACACCGAUGGCGAAGGCAAUCCCCUGGGCCUGUACUGACGCUCAUGCACGAAAGCGUGGGGAGCAAACAGGAUUAGAUACCCGGGUAGUCCCUGUCUCUUAUAA
rnacentral:rRNA from 1 species